ensembl:snoRNA SNORA71 Small nucleolar RNA SNORA71
CCCUGUAUCGAAAGUGAUUGUGGCAUGAUUGUUGCCUGGUCAUUGAUACGCAGGAAGAGUGAGUUGAAAGUCCCGUGUUUGCUGGAGUAUCAGUUCCUGCCAAACCCUGUAUCUUUCAGACA